GUUGUGAGUAACGUAUAGUAAUAGUUACUGCUCGACUUUCAAUCGACGGAUUUAAGGCUAGUGACAUCGUCGGUAAACAGGAUAAGGACAUAAGAGCUGUGUUCUCCCUCAACAAGAGGUUUCACCUGUCUGAAAGGCAGAUUGCUGAAGGUCCCAGAGAGCACAAAAGCGAAGGAGGAAAGAAGGUGCCUGCAGAGAUGGUAAGGCUGAUCACAACACUGGAUGUUCUCGCAGCUUGAGCCACCGAGUGCGAGAGAGACUUCAGCUCAGUGAGCAAUAUCCUGCCGCCCAGCAGAAAGUCCCUUGCAAUCCCUAGAGAGAAUACGCCAUUGCUGCCUUGUGGUGAUUAUGCAAAGGUGUCAAUAUACCAAAAGGUCAGUGUGUUCCAGGCAAAUUUGCUUAAUUUUAGAUGCAACUGGAAAAGCAGCUCUUCAGGCCCAGGUGUCUUAGCCACGUGGCAGAUAUUACCAUAAGGGCGCAGUAGGUUCUGCCAAUUCCUGAUGUGAAGGACAAAAACCUGGGGUUUUCCAUUAUCGUGUCCCAAUCCAGCUGAUAAUAGAGACUAUCGUGACUGUUCUUCUGAUUGGGCACAUUCUGCCAUUCACUGCAAAUCUGUUAAACAGAGAACCCAAACAAUACACCUUGAAAAUAAUAAAAGAUUCCAGAUGCAUUUAAUUCUACCCUUCAUGAAGAAUUACGCAAUACCAUUUUGUCUCAAGGUACUAUAAUUACUGCAGUUGAGCAAAAGCUCAUUGCGCUAUAUUCUUAACAUUUAGAGGAAGCUUUAAAAACCUGCCUGUCUCAAUACCCCAUUUUCAGUUGAAACUAAGGUCCCUGAGGUCUGACAGAGAGACCUUUAUCAUUUUCAUAGCAAAUUUAUGCUGAAGAGUAUUUAACCCUAGACAGGGGCUAGGCAUGCAUAUGUUGUUAAUGAGAUCGAGUAGUCCUGAAAUCAUCACCUCCCUGGAACAAAAGACACACCUUCCCACACAGAAAAGCAGAAAAAGCCAUCUACUGUGGUUGCCACAGUAUCUGAAACUAAAACACAUUGUCAUUCAUACUGCAAAGACUAGUACCCCUUCUGCAUGAUAACUAGUAAAAAGGCUAAAUCCAGUCUGGAUACUGAACACUGGACAUUCUAGAACAUAACUAACACCACUAAGGUGUUAACACCAUGAGAGACUAUGUUGUCUCUUGCCACUAGAGGGAAGCACUAGAUCGCAAAGCUGUUGACAGGUCAUGAUAGGAACCACAAAUGAUCUUUUUAUGUGUCCACAGAUUUUGAACCAUCAGUUGGUAAUCAAUGCACCUCACUACUAUAACACGUUACUGGGCCAUCAGCUUCUCCGCACACUGAGAGCCCCACAGGGCAGCCAGGGUGAGAGUCAUCCAGUGGAAGCAGCACAGCUCAUGGUGGACUGAGCCAAUCACACAGGGAUUGAGGCUGUGUAGGGAGCUAACUGGCCAGAUGAGCUGGUGAAUUGUGCACCGUCUCCCAGGGGAGUCCGGGGGACAACUCUCCAACGACACCUCAGGACAUGAGGGCAAGCUGAGCUGCAGGCACAGAACUUUGCCAGUGUAGUGACUUGAGAGUCCCGCUGCCUGCCGGGAGACCAGUUUCACUGCUUAAAUAUCACAGCCUAAAGAGCAAUCUCAGGACCACACCUUCACCGGUGCAAAUGUGUUGACCACACGUUACUAUCAUUAAUAUCACUGGCUCUUUACGGAUCUGUUCCCCAGCGCUAUUAAAAACACUCUGC